CGUGCCUAAUACAUGCAAGUAGAACGCUGAAGCUUGGUGCUUGCACCGAGCGGAUGAGUUGCGAACGGGUGAGUAACGCGGUAGGUAACCUGCCAUCAUUAGCGGGGGAUAACUAUUGGAAACGAUAGCUAAUACCGCAAUAAAAGUCGAUAUCGCAUGAUAUUGAUUUGAAAGGUGCAAAUGCAUCACUAAGAGAUGGACCUGCGUUGUAUUAGCUAGUUGGUGAGGUAACGGCUCACCAAGGCGACGAUACACAGCCGACCUGAGAGGGCGAUCGGCCACACUGGGACUGAGACACGGCCCAGACUCCUACGGGAGGCAGCAGUAGGGAAUCUUCGGCAAUGGGGGCAACCCUGACCGAGCAACGCCGCGUGAGUGAAGAAGGUUUUCGGAUCGUAAAGCUCUGUUGUAAGAGAAGAACGAGUGUGAGAGUGGAAAGUUCACACUGUGACGGUAACUUACCAGAAAGGGACGGCUAACUACGUGCCAGCAGCCGCGGUAAUACGUAGGUCCCGAGCGUUAUCCGGAUUUAUUGGGCGU
rnacentral:rRNA from 1 species